GGCCCCCGAGGGCUCGUCCCGCGGCUAUGGGGAGGGACAGCGAGGCUAGGCGGGCCCUGGGCGACAACUACCAGCACAACCAGCAAGGAUGGUGAAUCUUCUGAGAGAAGAUAAGAAGGAUACUGUCUGGAAAAAUAAUAUAGAAUUGGUCUAUUUUAAUGAAUAAGACAUCAAGAAGUAUGCUUGCGUCACUGACUUUUGAAAGGUUUUAGUCGUAGUUCAUAGUGAUACGCACGUGAAUUAAAGCUGGCAUCAGCUAAUGGAGGUGGAGACCAUUUUGCCCAAAGAGGUGUGGCAUGAGUUACAUUUCCACUUCAGAGGAAGAAAACCUGAAUUGAAGAGCAAACUGAGCCUGGAGUUCUUUUUAAAAGUCUCAGCAUCUAAACUGACAUGACAGGCAAAGUCAACUGGAAGAAAGCACCACUAUCCCUACUUUACAGAUUGGGAACCAAUACAGAAAAAGAUUAAGUGCUUUGCUCAAACUCAUACUAGACAUGUACAAGGUUUGCAGGGAAGAAAAUACUGAACUCCUAAAAGCUAAGAUAUGCAUCUCUGAAGGAACUGAAUUCACCCUUUAGUCAGCAGUAUGAAUUUCCCUUCUCAUUUCUGCAUGAUAAACUGAAUGAAGUAUAGCACUGACCUGAUCUACCCCCCAUCUUCAUCCCAGGCUGUUAUUCCUUGGAGAUUCUCAGACAUGGUACAUUGUAUUUUGGAUUCUUCGUUUGUUUUGUAAGAAUAAGGAAAUGACCCUGAGGUUGUAGGCUGUGAGACUUUUAUGUACUUGUUUACAGAAUUAAAACUUACACUGCAAUCUCCAGAGGUUAAAGGUAAAUUCAUUAAUGUAUUCAUUCAUUAACCCGUUCAUACAUUAACUCACUCGUUCUGUUCUUGAGAAGCUGAAAGGACAGUGCUGUGUCGCCUACUGAUGAAUGGAUUUCUAGCAGGUGAUACUUGCAUCCCUGACAGGGAAAAAUGAGACAUGCCAAGAAACUACUUGAAGAAAUCCAUUUUGCAAAGACAGAGGCAUCGUCAUUGUGCAGCAAAUGCAAACAGAUGGCUUCAUGAAUAAAGAAUAAUUAAAAACAGAAUAUUAGGUUUCAGGCUAUGGAUAGUGUUUAGUUUUAACAAACUAAGGACAUAAGCCUCUCCCUUACCUCUGCUGUAAUAGCAAAUAUGUCAAAUUAUAUUUAACAUGGACGUUUCAGUUGGCCUGACUCCUCUGUGGAGUUACUACAUUCCUUGAUUAAAUAAUGAAGAAAUAGCUACUAAGCAGAAUUUGGAGAAGAAAAGCUUUCAUGGAAUAAAAAAUACACAUUCUACUGAAGUAAAAUCAAUUUUAACACUUUUCUUCUGUAUGUUUGUUUUAUUUGG